AUGUAUAAAAUGGUGCGGGUAGGAUGCAAAAUUUCCACUUGUUUAUAAGUGUAUCUGGGAGAAAUGUAUAAAAUAAUCUACAGCACAGGAGGCAGGUCAGUGCGGAAGGGAAGGCGCUCGCCUAAAACGAACAAUGCCAACAUUGAAGCCCUCGGUUGGAGUCUGCACAGUUGGAGAUCUUUGGUGCCAUUUUAGACAUCUUUGGAUUUCAUCAAUCAAACUGACUGCAAUUUUCCAUAAAAACCCUGAAUUUGGGUCAGAAAGUGGGCAAAGCAGAUAAAGAUCAUUCGAGCUGUCUUAUAAGAUGAUAAAUAGAUAUCCUUUCAGUCCAACAA